rnacentral:rRNA from 1 species
GAUUCUGGCUCAGGAUGAACGCUGGCGGCGUGCUUAACACAUGCAAGUCGAACGGACUUAUGGCGCUGAGGCGAUUCGGUCAAAUCUUGCCGUAAGUUAGUGGCGGACGGGUGAGUAACGCGUGGGUAACCUGCCAUAUACAGGGGGAUAACAGUUAGAAAUGACUGCUAAUACCGCAUAAGCGCACAGUGAGGCAUCUCAUGGUGUGAAAAGCUCCGGCGGUAUAUGAUGGACCCGCGUCUGAUUAGCCAGUUGGCGGUGUAACGGACCACCAAAGCGACGAUCAGUAGCCGGCCUGAGAGGGUGAACGGCCACAUUGGGACUGAGACACGGCCCAAACUCCUACGGGAGGCAGCAGUGGGGAAUAUUGCACAAUGGGGGAAACCCUGAAUGCAGCGACGCCGCGUGAGUGAAGAAGUACUUCGGUACGUAAAGCUCUAUCAGCAGGGAAGAAAAUGACGGUACCUGACUAAGAAGCCCCGGCUAACUACGUGCCAGCCGCCGC